UGGGGAAUAUUGCGCAAUGGACGAAAGUCUGACGCAGCGACGCCGCGUGAGCGACGAAGUCUUUCGGGAUGUAAAGCUCUGUCACGGGGAACGAUAAUGACGGUACCCCGAGAGGAAGCCCCGGCUAACUACGUGCCAGCAGCCGCGGUAAUACGUAGGGGGCAAGCGUUGUCCGGAUUUACUGGGCAUAAAGGGCGCGUAGGUGGUGUUUUAAGUCAGGUGUUAAAUUCCUCAGCUUAACUGAGGACCGCACUUGAAACUGAAAUACUAGAGAACAGGAGAGGGAAGCGGAACUCACGGUGUAGCGGUGAAAUGCGUAGAUAUCGUGGGGAACACCAGUUGCGAAGGCGGCUUCCUGGACUGCUUCUGACACUGAGGCGCGAAAGCGUGGGGAGCAAACAGGAUUAGAUACCCCGGUAGUCC
rnacentral:rRNA from 1 species